GUGGGUAUAGCUCAGUGGUAGAGUGUGUGCUUAGCAUGCACAAAGUCCUGGGUUCAAUCCCCAGUACCUCUG
rnacentral:tRNA from 1 species